UCAGAUUCCUCAAGCGUCAACUGGUGCAACAUUAACAGUUUCCAGAGUAACAAACUCUACCACCGGGGUGUAUUCCUGUAUUGCGACAAAUGAUGCUGGGACCAGCCAAGCCAACAUUAUUUUGAAAGUUACUUCUGGUAAAAAUUCACUGUUGAUUGUUUAAAACAAAAAUAUUGCAUCAUAUAAAAAAGCUCUUACUUUUUUAAGGACUUGAAUAACAAAAAAAAAGUCUGGUAUCUUUGGUAUUUAUGUGUGUGCAUACAAGCUGACCUAUAGUUUCUUCUGUAUAUGGGGUAUGUCUGUGUAACAUGUCCUAGGUACUUGCUAUUUUUUUAGUGAAUGCCAUGAAAAUCAAACAAUAUGUAUUUAACAGCUUCUGUACAAGUAUUGUAAAGUUUUCUCAAUUUAAUUUUUAGAUCCUCCAAAGAUAAUAAGUCCUCCUUUUUCAACAAUAAAUACAGCUGGAGAAUCUCACAAUUUUACAUGCAGAUCAACCGGUCAUCCUGUUCCAGUUAUUUCAUGGACUUUCGAUUCG
rnacentral:lncRNA from 1 species